rnacentral:rRNA from 1 species
ACAAGGCAGACGGCUCAGUAACGCGUAGUCAACCUACCCUAUGGACGGGAAUAACCUCGGGAAACUGAGUAUAAUGCCCGAUAGAACACUAUACCUGGAAUGGUUUGUGUUCCAAAUGAUUUAUCGCCGUAGGAUGGGACUGCGGCCUAUCAGUUUGUUGGUGAGGUAAUGGCCCACCAAGGCGAUUACAGGUACGGGCUCUGAGAGGAGUGGCCCGGAGAUGGGUACUGAGACACGGACCCAGGCCCUAUGGGGCGCAGCAGGCGAGAAAACUUUGCAAUGUGCGAAAGCACGACAAGGUUAAUCCGAGUGGUUUCUGCUAAAGGAACCUUUUGACAGUCCUAGAAACACUGUUGAAUAAGGGGUGGGCAAGUUCUGGUGUCAGCCGCCGCGGUAAAACCUGCACCUCAAGUGGUCAGGAUGAUUAUUGGGCCUAAAGCAUCCGUAGCCGGCUCUGUAAGUUUUCGGUUAAAUCUGUACGCUUAACGUACAGGCUGCUGGGAAUACUGCAGA